GUCUCCAAAUGGCCAAAUGGCUUAAAUUCCCUUGCCUGUUUUGUGAAUAUUGUGUUCUCCUUCCUCAGUAUUAGCCUCAUAGGUAUCAUCUCUUCUUUUCUCAUCAUCCUCCAAUCUGGUAAAUCUCCCUAAACUACCUAGAUUAAUCGCCACAUUGCCUAAACCAAAGACCUCUGUAGUAAGUCGUGAAGAAAUCUAACUCAAAUACUCAGUUUGGAGAAUUAGAAGAAGUACAAGGAGAGAGACAGAAGCACAUCAUGGGACACCAGAAUGGCAAGAAGCAUCCUACCAGCCUCAUGGGAGGGACUCAACUUCAAUGCAUGCUUUCCAUUUGAAUGGGAGCGGUUGGGCGGCUGGAGGCCACUGUGAGUCUGAGGAUGGAGGCAAGAUGUGAAGAUGCUGGAAUGAGAAACGGGAAGGGAGUAGUAAGAGGUCAUCUAUCUGUCAGCUGUAUGACUUAUCCUUCUGCUUUUAUGCUUUGAAAGAUCUUCUCCACCCACCCCCAGGAAGUUUGG